GCUUGAGUAGUUUAUUUAAAAUAUUAAUUUGUGGAUUUAAUGAUGUAAUAAUUUACCUUGAGCU
rnacentral:tRNA from 3 species